GCCUGGGUAGCUCAGUUAGAUAGAGCACGUCUUUGGUAAAGACGAGGUCAGCGGUGCAAUUCCGCUCUCAGGCUCAA
rnacentral:tRNA from 1 species